UGAGGGAUGGUGUGCUGGGUGAGGAAAGGGCAUGGGGUCCACCAUGGUGGGAGAUGAGGGUGGACAGGCAGGUCGUGGCCGGCAUGGGAGAGGCUUGGGUCUGGGCCAAGAGGCUGGGCUUUUUCCUAUCAGGCAGGGAGAGUUUGUUCGUGUUUAUGAGCCAGGAAGGUAAACAGAGCACACCUGUGCUUGGUUCCUCCUUUAAGGCUGGACUGGCAGCCAUGCCUGACCCCUGAGUCCUGACGGGAGGGACUGUGCAGUCCCUUCCCUGGUCCCUGCCUGGGAGAUGCCUGUCAAGUUGGGUCAGGCUUUGCCUCCACUCCUGGGUCGGAAAGGCUAAUGAGAGUGUGGCCCUGGCGGAGUUUGUAGGUGGGGUGGCAAUGCUUCCUCAAGUUUCAUUAGUUGGACGCAUGACUUUCAGGUUCAAACCAGCUGGAAAAGUCGGGGCAGCCUACCAAAAAUAGGCAGGCAGCAGGGCUUAGCAGGAGGGCCCCAGGCUGACUGAGAGUCAGGAGACUGCCUUCUGUUUGUUUUUAAAGCACGCCUCUGCCCUUCCCGGCUGUGGGCUCUUCAUUCCCUCAAAGGGCCUCAGUUUUAUCAGCUGUAAAAUGAAGAGGGUGGACCAGCCGAUGGAUCGUAUGACUCCAGGGCGGGAGGAGGCUCAGGAGAGCGGCGUGGGGCUUUGUGGGUGAGCUGCCGAGGGCGAGCACCCCAGACAGAACAAAGCCUCUGCUGGAGGGGACAGGAGGCUUUUCAGAGUGGUGACUCUCAGAGGGUAUUUCCAUGGAUUUCACCUGGUGGCCCACCCGCCUCAGGAAAGCCUCACGCCGGUGGUCCUGCCUUGAGGAUUCCGGGAUACCUGUUUGCCUUCCGCAUGACUUCUAAAGUGGAGUUCCUCAAGACUUGGGCUCUCUAGGUGAUACAAUGGAGCACGAGAAGAAAGUCAUCUCUGGAAAUUUAUAUUGUACUUAGGUUAAUCUGCACUUUGGAACCGUACGGCCUUUUCACAUCACGAGAUUAGUAUCUUGAUAAGUAACAAGCUUCCU